AUGUAAGGUAAGCGUGUCCUGGCCCAGAGAGCGGGCUUGAAGAUGAGGUCAGACUGAUGCUGUAAGACAGGACGCUUGUGAGGUCCACGCACCUGAAGGGAGAGCGCCCCCAAGGGUGUUUGCUUCAGCCGGAAGCAGAGGGGGAAGGCAGUCCUGGAUCAACUGCCACCGAGAGCGAAUGCACCUCUGGGUCAGUUCUUCGAUCACAAAGUCCAAAAUCCGUGUGGUCAAUUACUUGGAGGCACCGGGCCGUCCUGAAACCUUUCCUUGUCUGAGGAGGACCUGAGAUCCCAUGGAGAACUCAAGCCAAAGAGAGAACUGAGCCCAGUGAACAAUUCAGAGAGAUCACCAAAAGGAGGCCAAACGUGGAAAAGAAACAGCUUGGGGAAAUGUGUUUGCUCACAGUGCUUUUGGGGAAAAAAAAUCCACAUUUCCAUCAGGUUUAAUAACAUGCCAGAGCCUAAAUGAGCCAAGUACAAAGAUCUAUGGUGAGGCUCCUAGCUUUGAAAUGCCAGAUGGUUCUCUUCAGUUAUGUCAUAAAGUCCACAGGUGUGGCAUGCACUGGCCAGAAGAUGGAACGAGAACACGUGAACAGCCCACAACCUUCGCCGGAAGGAUAGGUCCGACCAGGGUCACCGGUAUAAACUUGGCUAUAACAAAUAAUAAAGAUUCACUUUGGAAACUCAACUGUUUUUAUGUAGAAAUAAUAUAUGUUGAGGUCCCAUGAGGGCAAAGCACAAGGAGAUCCCAAAAACCCUUCAGAGGAGCCCACGGCCUCUUCUCAUCUGUAAUUAGCCGCUCGGAGUCCUUGGGUCUCUAGCUGACGGGCCACCGAGCGAGCCCUUGGCUGUAUGUGGGUCCCGGUGGAAAGAGGAAAACCCUCUGAGCGUAGGUGAAGGAAGAAGCAAGUGAGCCCUUGGAUCCACAUCCUGAAUGGGGUCCUGAGCUCUGGACCCCCUUUGUGAAGGGAGCAGGUUUGCAUCGCUAAGCAACCAGGACGUCAGCUCCCAGUCCUGCUCUUUUCAACUGGGCCACACAGCUGCUGAAGAAAGACCACAGAAUCCACACUCAGAAUCAGGGCCUGAUGAGCAGUCGUUCCUGCAUUCCUCUACGCCAAGUCCGUCUCAGGGACAAGCCUAUAGAAGUCACCCCCAGAACUGGAGGGUGGCCCCAGUGCAGGCCCCCAUCCCGGGACCCACCCCUUCUUGAGACCACCGGGGUCCAGGGCCGCUGGGAACGAAGAACGUGUAUGUAGUAUGCAGGAAGUCAUUUCAAGUCGGCCAACUUAAAAAAUGCGGCGAAUUAUAUAUAUACAUAUAUUUUUUUAAUGUGAGAAGCAAUCUGUGUUCCAUAUAAACUAUGCCACAACUGUAUGCUAUAAAAUACACAUCAGGAAAAAAGGAUGAUCAUUUCCAAGAACGACUCUUCUCCAUAGACUGGCUUCACCUACCUAGAAAAAUUAUACAAGAGGCCAACAGCUACUGUUGGUUCCUAUUUAAUAAAAAUGGAAUGCUUUGUAUGCCUAAACAACUAACUUCUAAAUCUGAAAGCCGCCUUGCUAAGCGGUGUAAAAUAUCUGUUGUGCAUUUGAGUUUUACAUUCACAACAACAGAGCACAUGGUUUUUUAUCUAUUUGCAGUACUACUGAAGGUGAGUCUAUCAGUAGCAAAAAAGUUAGCAAAACCACAUUUCACAAGAGACACAUGCAAAUAUGGGCUAGAGUGAAUCCCCAGCAAUUCCCCAUCAAGGCAGGGGAAAUAUUUUUGGAAUUUUUGAAAUCCUAAAAAUCGAAGUCUUUUGAGAGAAAUAUGUGCGGUUUUCUUUCUUUCGUCUUUCCACACGUAAGAUACAGGCAGAAACACUGGUCCGGUCCAGUGACUGGUGUUGCUUCUCUACGUAGGCAGAAACUGUGAGUUUGCAGGGUCUGGUUUCAAAGUCACCCAAGUGUCCCUCUGCUUCCCCCGAGAAUCCGUCCUCCCUCCAUUCAGUGACAAUGACGUGCAUGCGUUUAAUUACGUGGCUUCAUACUACAGCUGGAUCCCAGCGCACGUGGAAAGUAGCCUGGGGUGUCUGUGCUUUUGAGCAGCGGAAAGUGCUAAAAAGGUAAAGUCUCAAUAAAAAGAAUAGACUUGGAUUCUUUUUUGUGGGCCUGUCUUGGGAGGAAGAAAGAGUGAGAAGUAGCAGUCUGACGGGCUCUGGAUGCUGGGAGCCAGCCCCUCCUACGUAACUCCUGCUCAGAAAUCAGUCUAAGAGGAACAAUGGGCCCGCAGAGGAGUUCUCAGGACUCACAAUUCCCGAGGUGGUGGAACACUUUGUGCUCGGCUGACUUCCCUCCCACGGGGCCCCGUGUGCCCGAGAACAUCAUCAAGGUAUGGGAAAAAGAAGGCCUUGCAUCUUCCUAAGCCGGGAGAGUGUGUGGCCAGGGCUGAACCAGACGCCAAGACACCGUAAAACCCCAUAAUUAUAACAACGACUUAAUCAUACGUUUGAAUGUGGCUUCUGAAGAGUCAGGUUGUUCCUGCUCUUUCGAUCCUAUUCCCGCUCUGAUUACAUCAGCUGUGUUACAGCCAACAGAAGCCACGGGAACCUUGAUUGCUCAGAAAUGUGUGUCUUUUGCAGCACAUGACAAGGAGAGUUUCGCCUCCACCUGUUCCAGCCCGGGGAAAAUGGGGAAAUGGUGGUUCUGCAGCAACGCGUGCUGUUUUCUCCGUCCAGGCGAGGGCUGUGACCUUAGGAACGCUCCAGUGGGUGACACCCACAGUUGCAGAGCUGGACACACAUCGACAGGACGUUGGCCUCCGUGGCCUGCUGCUACAGGUGGUGAUGGAGCAGCCGCUCCAUUGGCCUCCAGGCCCAGCGUCCACUCAGCUGUGCUUGGUCCCGGGUUCCUCCAGCAGAGUUAAGGCGCCUUCCUGGCAGGACUUCCUCUAAUAACAGAGACAAAGCACACGGCCUUCAUCCUCUGGGCUGGGGCGUCCCCUCUCCCUUGGCGGUGGCUUGGGGAACAGCGCCUGCAUUCUAGUUUCCUUCUGACAGUUUGAUGUGGAGCCCGACCUUUAUCUCAUGGAAUGCCCGGACAGGGACAGUCUCUACCAAGCCCCAUGGACAAAUGAGCCCUUCCCAGUGUCCGUAGGUGUGUGGCGGCACACCUGUCGAGGACACGCCCACUUCACAGAGCCCCUCCCGAACAUCUUAGCCUUCCACCUGAGAGAGCAUCUGGAAAUGCCAGUGGGAGAUCACGACGCUGUCGGUAUGACUAUGUAUCUAUAAUCAUCUUUAUUAUUUUACUAAUAAUGUGUGAACUGGGGCAGUUUGCAUAUUAUUAGUAGAGUUACACUGUGACACAUUUCAGAGCCAAUUAGGACACAUCAGGGGGACUGAGC
rnacentral:lncRNA from 1 species